rnacentral:rRNA from 1 species
UACGUAGGGGGCAAGCGUUGUCCGGAUUUAUUGGGCGUAAAGAGCGUGUAGGCGGUUUGGUAGGUCCGCUGUGAAAACUCGAGGCUCAACCUCGAGACGCCGGUGGAAACCAUCAGACUAGAGUCCGGAAGAGGAGAGUGGAAUUCCUGGUGUAGCGGUGAAAUGCGCAGAUAUCAGGAGGAACACCGGUGGCGAAGGCGGGUCUCUGGGCCGUAACUGACGCUGAGGGAGCGAAAGCGUGGGGGGAGCGGAACCAGG